rnacentral:precursor_RNA from 1 species
GCGCCUGGAAACUUGGGAAGGUUCUGCCCCUGGCUGGAGUCAACCUGCCAUGGGCACAGAAGUCCCAUCUGGGUCGCCA